rnacentral:rRNA from 1 species
AACGAACGCUGGCGGCAGGCUUAACACAUGCAAGUCGAACGCCCCGCAAGGGGAGUGGCAGACGGGUGAGUAACGCGUGGGAACAUACCCUUAUCUUCGGAACAACUCCGGGAAACUGGAGCUAAUACCGAAUGUGCCCUUCGGGGGAAAGAUUUAUCGGAUAAGGAUUGGCCCGCGUUGGAUUAGCUAGUUGGUGGGGUAAAGGCCUACCAAGGCGACGAUCCAUAGCUGGUCUGAGAGGAUGAUCAGCCACAUUGGGACUGAGACACGGCCCAAACUCCUACGGGAGGCAGCAGUGGGGAAUAUUGGACAAUGGGCGCAAGCCUGAUCCAGCCAUGCCGCGUGAGUGAUGAAGGCCUUAGGGUUGUAAAGCUCUUUCACCGGAGAAGAUAAUGACGGUAUCCGGAGAAGAAGCCCCGGCUAACUUCGUGCCAGCCGCCGCCGUAAGAC